GGCUGGAAGAAGGCAGGCGCAGAGGCCCGGAGAGGCGGGAGCCAGGUCGCGGCCCCGCAGCCGCUCCGGUCUCACUCCGGGCAUUCUCGGUGGCAGCGCCCGGGCCUGGCCGCCGGCGCCGCGGGUGGGAGGACGGCGCCUGGAGCGGAGCCCGGAGGCGCGAAGAGGAGGAGCGGGUCUCAGCCCUGGGAGCGGGAACAGCGCAGACAAGCCGGGGAACCUCGGGGGCGGUGACCGAGGGCUGGACAGCUCAGGUCACCGCGGGACCCCACUAGGGGACUACGGGGAACCGACCUCACCCGCGGAGCGCUGAGAAUAACCCAGUGGCCAUUCAAACUGGCGAGUCCGGCUGCGUUCCUGCGGCCCGCGCCCAGCCGAGCCCUGAUUGGCGUUCACCCAGCCAAUCAUAGCCUCAGGGCCUGAGGUGGGUGGGGCCGGAGCGGGCCGGGCGCGCCCGCGGAGGCGGACCCCGAGGACCCUGUCUUCUAGGUGCGCCAGAAACGGAGGGGGGCCGGUUGGCGCGUCCCGCUUCUCCGCGCCUCUUUGGAAGGCCACACCCGGGCCUGGAGACCUGGACAGAAGCGGACACUGCGACUCAAAACCCCAGGCUCAAUGGGAGAUGCCUACCGUGCAAAGUCCCGGAGCGCUGGCCUGGAGGAAGAGGGCGUCCCGCGCCUGUGCAAAUACCUGGAGAACGCGCGGGAGACGAUGCUGCUGCAGGGCACCACCCUCUGGGCCUCACAUCAGCAUCUCUCAGCCUGAGAUGGGAUACGGACGGACGGAUCUGUGGGGAAGGGAAUAUCUUCUCAGAGCAGGGAAAUCAGGAGCCAUCCAGGUGCCUUAAGCAGGAUUCUCUAGAGUCCAGCCUAAUCAUAAGCCGUCUCCUCUCCCCUUCUCAAAGCCAUCUUGCUCCCUCCUUAUAAUAGUCAUGGACACAGUUGCUAGUCUACUCUUCCUUGGUGCUCUCGUUAUUAGAGUGGAGUUUGGAUAAUAUAGAUGAAAAACUUGAGUACAAAGGGAGUGAGGAUACUAGGCCUCUUCAGCUUGACUCAUGGGUUCCCACUCUAAGUAGGUGAGGUACACAAUAUCCUGCCAUUCUUAUGCUAGGGCCAGAGAUGGUAACUCACAGAUGUGUUAUAGAGGAUAGAAGAGAGUAGGACCAUCAGGCAGGCAAGUCUCAGCCUAGGAGGCAGAGGAUGUGACCAAGAAGUCACAUCUAGGGGGCCAGCACAGUGCAAGGGAGUUCCUGCGGCUGCUUGGGUCAGAGGAGGUGAGGCAAGAGGCUAGUGAAAACUCAGCCUGAGAAGCAGUCAAGAAGGAGAGCUGCAAAAGCAGCAGGAUGGGUUUUCCAGGAGGCCCAGUGCCCAAGGUCAGGGUUCUACCAGGGAUGGCCAGCCCCUGUGGGCUGAGCCCCAUGUGCCUGGUCUGCAUUCGGAUCUCCCCUGCUUAUUCAUGGGGGCUGGGGAAGCCAAGUCAGGAGCCUGGAGAGUAACCAGAAGGGCACCCAGGCACCUGAGAAAUGGUUCCCUUGUCUCCAAGAGAUUCACUCCAAGAGCUCUCUUCUUAGCUUUCCCAGACUUUUCACCAGUGAUUCAAUGGGAGGAAACCAGGUCCCAGACUUGAUUAAAAACAAACAAAAAAACCCUAGGUAUCGAAAGAGGGUAACAGCCUCGUCUUCAAGUAAAUAAAAGGAGGGAUUCAAAUUAUAAGGCAAAGGAAAAAUUUGUUCUUUGCUGUGGGGGAAGAGUUGCUGAAAAUUAAAGAACAAUCUCCUGAGCUGAAGGGAGCUUUGGGUUUGGUAAUUUGGGGUGUGGGGCAGGCCUUCCAGAAUGCCAAGGGCGUCAAGACUAGUGUGUCUCUCCCUUAGUGUUUCCUUCCUCCAUUUGAGAGAGCUUUCUGGCAUAGAACAAAAAAAGGUUCACCCCUUCUUGUCUCUGCUGACACCUAGAUUCUUCUCAGCUGUAUGUCCGUGUUCCUAUUAGGGUAACACAGGAUGGAGGAAGAAUAGCUCAGUGGUCUUCCCUUCACAUCUCCCCUAAAAGCAUUGUGAAAUAUCAUGUGCCCCCUCCCACAGGCUUAGGUUGACCUGAAAUUCUCAGCGUGUGUUCAAAGAAUUGCAAAGAAUGUAAUUUACAACAUAUUAUAUAUA